ensembl:snRNA U6 U6 spliceosomal RNA
CUUGUGCUCACUUCAGAAGAAGAUAUAUUAAAAUUGGAAUGAUACAGAUUAUCAUGGCCCCUGAGCAAGGAUGACUUACAAACUCAUGAAGUAUUUCAUAUUUUU